rnacentral:rRNA from 1 species
CCAUGCCGCGUGUGUGAAGAAGGCCUUCGGGUUGUAAAGCACUUUCAGUCGUGAGGAAGGUGGUAGUGUUAAUAGCACUAUCAUUUGACGUUAGCGACAGAAGAAGCACCGGCUAACUCCGUGCCAGCAGCCGCGGUAAUACGGAGGGUGCGAGCGUUAAUCGGAAUUACUGGGCGUAAAGCGCAUGCAGGUGGUUUGUUAAGUCAGAUGUGAAAGCCCGGGGCUCAACCUCGGAAUUGCAUUUGAAACUGGCAGACUAGAGUACUGUAGAGGGGGGUAGAAUUUCAGGUGUAGCGGUGAAAUGCGUAGAGAUCUGAAGGAAUACCGGUGGCGAAGGCGGCCCCCUGGACAGAUACUGACACUCAGAUGCGAAAGCGUGGGGAGCAAACAGGAUUAGAUACCCUGGUAGUCCACGCCGUAAACGAUGUCUACUUGGAGGUUGUGGCCUUGAGCCGUGGCUUUCGGAGCUAACGCGUUAAGUAGACCGCCUGGGGAGUACGGUCGCAAGAUUAAAACUCAAAUGAAUUGACGGGGGCCCGCACAAGCGGUGGAGCAUGUGGUUUAAUUCGAUGCAACGCGAAGAACCUUACCUACUCUUGACAUCCAGAGAACUUUCCAGAGAUGGAUUGGUGCCUUCGGGAACUCUGAGACAGGUGCUGCAUGGCUGUCGUCAGCUCGUGUUGUGAAAUGUUGGGUUAAGUCCCGCAACGAGCGCAACCCUUAUCCUUGUUUGCCAGCGAGUAAUGUCGGGAACUCCAGGGAGACUGCCGGUGAUAAACCGGAGGAAGGUGGGGACGACGUCAAGUCAUCAUGGCCCUUACGAGUAGGGCUACACACGUGCUACAAUGGCGCAUACAGAGGGCGGCCAACUUGCGAAAGUGAGCGAAUCCCAAAAAGUGCGUCGUAGUCCGGAUUGGAGUCUGCAACUCGACUCCAUGAAGUCGGAAUCGCUAGUAAUCGUGGAUCAGAAUGCCACGGUGAAUACGUUCCCGGGCCUUGUACACACCGCCCGUCACACCAUGGGAGUGGGCUGCAAAAGAAGUAGGUAGUUUAACCUUCGGGGGGACGCUUACCACUUUGUGGUUCAUGACUGGGGUGAAGUCGUAACAAGGUAGCGCUAGGGGAACCUGGCGCUGGAUCACCUCCUUAAACGAUGAU